UAGGGAAUCUUCGGCAAUGGGGGGAACCCUGACCGAGCAACGCCGCGUGAGUGAAGAAGGUUUUCGGAUCGUAAAGCUCUGUUGUUAAGGAAGAACGAGUGUGAGAAUGGAAAGUUCAUGCUGUGACGGUACUUAACCAGAAAGGGACGGCUAACUACGUGCCAGCAGCCGCGGCAAUACGUAGGUCCCGAGCGUUGUCCGGAUUUAUUGGGCGUAAAGCGAGCGCAGGCGGUUAGAAAAGUCUGAAGUGAAAGGCAGUGGCUCAACCAUUGUAGGCUUUGGAAACUGUUUAACUUGAGUGCAGAAGGGGAGAGUGGAAUUCCAUGUGUAGCGGUGAAAUGCGUAGAUAUAUGGAGGAACACCGGUGGCGAAAGCGGCUCUCUGGUCUGUAACUGACGCUGAGGCUCGAAAGCGUGGGGAGCGAACAGG
rnacentral:rRNA from 1 species